GCCUAGUUAUCUUGGUAGGUAGAGUGUCUGUCUUGUAAGCGCUAGGUCGCGGGUUCAAUUCCCGUCCGGGGUG
rnacentral:tRNA from 1 species